GAUGAACGCUAGCGGCAGGCCCAAUACAUGCAAGUCGAACGAUACCAGAGAGCCUGCUUUCUGGGAAAGUGGCGCACGGGUGCGUAACGCGUAUGCAACCUACCUUAAUCAGGGGGAUAGCCUCUCGAAAGAGAGAUUAACACCGCAUAACAUCAUUUUACGGCAUCGUAGAAUGAUCAAAUAUUUAUAGGAUUAAGAUGGGCAUGCGUGACAUUAGCUAGUUGGUGAGGUAACGGCUCACCAAGGCUACGAUGUCUAGGGGAUCUGAGAGGAUGACCCCCCACACUGGUACUGAGACACGGACCAGACUCCUACGGGAGGCAGCAGUAAGGAAUAUUGGUCAAUGGAGGCAACUCUGAACCAGCCAUGCCGCGUGCAGGAAGACGGCCCUAUGGGUUGUAAACUGCUUUUAUACGGGAAUAAACCUCUCUACGUGUAGAGAGUUGAAUGUACUGUAAGAAUAAGGAUCGGCUAACUCCGUGCCAGCCGCCGCCGUAAAAC
rnacentral:rRNA from 1 species